rnacentral:lncRNA from 1 species
AAAUUCUUCACCGAUUUUAUCGACCAUUUUGUCCAUUAAACCAAAAUAAUACUUAGCAAUAUGAGAGGUAACACUGCUAGCAUCAAUGGAUUUUUUAAAAACAAUACCUCUUGUGCUAUAAAUUAAGAAAUUGAUUAUAUGUUGAUUAGUUGUCCCUUUCCACCCAUCACACAUAAUGGUCACCCCUCUUUCUUCCUAUAUAGGCCUAAAGCUAUUUACCCAUUCUUGUAUCUAUUUAUACUCAUCUUCCAAAUACACUCUUGUCACCUUAUAAGCUGAAGGACCCCUAACCAAUUUUCCAACUUUCGCUGCAACUAGAAGUACAAGUUGGAGAAAUGAUGACUCUGCAAGAAUUGCAGGUAAAGCUUCAUGUAAUAUCACUUUGGACAUUGUUUUCCCUAGCUUAGCUUUUGCAUUUUUAAGAAAGCUCGAAUUAAGUUUUGAUUGCUUCGAACUUUUUUAUCUUUCAAGAACAGGAUCCAUGUUUGCUAAUCUUGCUCUAGGAGAGUCAAGAUUAGCCCAUUGAUGUUCCCUCCCACUUCUUUCAGAAUUACGAACAGUAAAUGAUCGUCUAAUUCCUUGAGUUCCAGAAUUACUACCUCCUUCCAUUUCAAAAAUUGAAUCUUGACCGAUUCUUACUCUUCGACGUUGCCUUUCUUCCCAUUCAACUUGAGAUCUCAUACUCUCACAUCUUGUGAUAGUUAACUCAUCAUCAUCAUCAUCAUCACCACUAUCACCAUAGGCUACACGGUCUCCUAAUCUUAUUUUUUCCUCUAAUUCUUUUUUCCUCCUUUGCUUCGUAGCUUUUUCACUACGAUAUUCUUGAAGCUGUUGUGCAAUGGUUUUUCUAACUUCUGCCAAGACAUGUGAACAAGGUACUACAUUCCUUUUUUUUUUUUUUGCAGCCAAAUGCUCUUUCAACCGUGUUACUCCUCUUUUAAUAAUUCUUCCACAAAAUCUGCAUUUGACAUUAUUAUGAUUACCUUCAACAGGUUCUCCUCACCUCCAACCAUAAUCUUCACUGGGAGCAGCAUCUUCUUUAUUUCUUGAGCGUGGCAUUUUUUUCUUAUAUCUGCAUGAAAAUUAUUAUUAAUCAUUACUUGAGUUCAAACCAACUAGUAAAAGAUUCAUAAAAAUGAAACAAAAUUGUAGGACUUAAAACUAACAAUAAAAAAUAUUCACCAAAAUGAAACAAAAAUGAUAAGGCUUAAAAUUAAAAAAUGAAACAAAAAUAAUAAGACUUAAAACUACAAAAAUGAAACAAAAAUAAUAAGAUUUAAAACUCUAACAACAGAAACACUGCUAUUAAGACUUAAAACUAAAAAAUGGAAAAAAUUAUAAGACCUAUAAUUAAUAAUACAAAAGAUUCACAAAAAUAUAAAACUUAUUAUUAACACUACAAAAUAUUUACAAAAAUUCAAAUAAAAUUCAAUAUAAAUAUAACUAAUUAUUAAUUAAAUAUGUAAAAAUAAUAAUUACAUAGAAACUCUAAAUUCAACUAGUAAGACAAAUAUAUUAUUUAAACUAAGUAAUAAACAAAAUAAUAAUAUUUUAAAAAUAAUAAUUACAUAACUUGUAUUUCUUGUCUUACAAAUGAGUUGAGAUGAUAUCGAUUCCUCACUAUUAACUCAAGAACACAACUCUUGAAAUAGAAAACAGAAGAAAUAGCUCUUGAAAUGUUGAAGAAAAUAGUUGAGAGGAUUUGAAAUUCAAUACUCCUGCUCUUUCACCCGAAAAUGUUAUUUGUAGUAGACUAGUAAUGUAAAAAAAGAAUUUGAAACCUUUACAAUUUUU